rnacentral:lncRNA from 1 species
GUCCCCGCGAGCUCUACCUGCCUGCCGACGCUGCGGGCCGGGGGUGUGAUGGUUGGUGAGGGUGAGGGUGCGGGACAGGUAGUCCCAGAUCCCCCCUCUAACUCUUUUUGAACCCAGCCCCCCUGCUACUGUGCUCCCCUUCCCCGCGUCCUUUCCCGCGUCGCCCCGCGUUCCCCGCGGUGACCCCGCAGGGCAGCCUAGAGCUGAGUUUACCGCACCCUCAGGGUUGGAGUCGAGACCUAGGGCACCAGGCCUAAGGACCCUCGACCUGCGUUGGGGCCCAGCGAGGCCGCUACGACCACCUAGAGGCAGGGAAGGGGACUAGCCCUCGCCAGCGUCACGCCAAGGGACCCCGGCAGAGUGGGGAGGACCCUGCACCCAGGAGCUGAACUGGUCCGAGGCCAGGAUCGCCAAUGCGAGGGCCGUGGCGGGAGGGGGCAAACGGGAAGCCAGCUCACAUCAUGUUUCCCAGAUGCCAGGAUUUGUCUGGCGGUUGUCCUCCAGGAGAGGAAAGUGGAGUCAUGGAGCCUCUCACAGGAGCACACGGAUCCACUCAGAAAUCCCUCCGUGUGCUGCCUGAGUGCUGCCGGAAGCUCGGACCAGCCACUGGGGGACCAGGCUCCAGGGUGUCCUGAGGUUGCCCAGGUGGAUGGCAGAAGUGUUGCAAAGCCGACACCAUCAGCAAGGGGUCCAGAAUCGAGAGCCGGCCGAAGCUUCAGAUGGCUUCGGCACCCCUUUGUCUUUCCCUGGCCUGCUUUAGAGACACCGUCGCUGCUAAGGCGGUUACCUCAACCUCCCACCGCGACCAAGGUAGGACUCUGGUUUGCUCACCGUGGUCCAGACACCUGCGUGCUCACCUGCAGGCCAGGCACCUGCAGGCGGAAAAGCACUGAGGGCGGAACAGGCCACAGGGUGGGAGCACCGCCUUGAGGAGCUCAGAGGCCCAGAGGGAGGGUCUGAGCGAAAGUGUGUGCACGAACCCUGACAGGGACAAGCUGGGGGUGGAGAGUUGGGAGCCCCUCUCUGGGAGCCGACCGGACCAGAAACCCCCACUCACCUGCCCACCACAGCUGCCAACACACCUGGCCUCCUGCCUGGCACUAUUCAUGGGUGGGUGACUACGGGCCCGUCACCCACAGGCACAACACUCCUAUCCGGACUCCAAUCCUCUGGUGCCCGGGAGCUGGGCUCAGGCUAUGGGAGGGGUCCAGCAGGCUGGGUGGAGACCGUGGGGACCAUGCCGGCCCUCCCUUCCCAGAGGAGCCUUCCCGGGGAGGGGGGCUGCCCUCCCUCUCCCGGAGGCCACGGCUGGCUAGGCUCCGUGGGGGUCCACGAGCUGGGCCUCCACAGAGCUCCCACCAGAGCCAUCCCCAGGAGAGUGCAGGGGAGCCCUUGGGGGCUCAGCACCGGGGCAGCUGUUCCAGGGGACCGGGCCA